CUCCUCGUCCUCCCUUAUAAGGUUCUCCAGAAUGAAGCUUUCUUCUUCCACCAUUAUCUUUCUUGUCCUCGGGCUUCUCUUCGCUUCCAUGGCCACCACGAGCUCCCGGGAGACGCCUGCCCAUGGCGUGCUAGAGAAAGGUAGAGAUAGGGCUAUGGUGCAACCCGAAGGCGUCAUCUACGGCCUUGCAAGGGUGUCUCCUUUGACACCGCCGGCGCCAGAGGCCAACCAUCCCCCUGACCCUCCCUUCAACAAUCCCUGAAGCCGUGCUGCUGCCCAUCGAUCAUGUACUGCACCAAUAUAUUUCAUGCUUUGUUGAAGACUACACCGUCGUGUCGAUGUUGCUUCUCUCUUUCUCCAAAAGGGUGUAUCGAUUGUAGUGUUUCAUGUUCGGUGAUCCUAAUAAAUGUUUCUUGAUGUGUUA